ACUCUCGGCAACGGAUAUCUCGGCUCUCGCAUCGAUGAAGAACGUAGCGAAAUGCGAUACUUGGUGUGAAUUGCCAGAAUCCCGUGAACCAUCGAGUUUUUGAACGCAAGUUGCGCCCGAAGCUUCGGCUGAGGGCACGUCUGCCUGGGCGUCACGCAUCGCGUCUCCCACAAACCCACCCCGAGUGAGGGGAAGGAGGAUGGUCUCCCGUGGCUCACCGGUCGCGGCUGGCCUAAAAUUGGAGCCCUCGGCAUCGGGAUGCCGCGGCGAUAGGUGGUGAACAAGGCCUCGGCCGAGCAAGCAACCCCGUCGCGUGUCGCGGUGCCAAGGAGAGCUCGAAGGACCCUUUGACGUUGCCUUGUUGCAACCCAAAACCGUUGCGACCCCAGGUCAGCGGGCUACCGCUGAAUUUAAAGCAUAUCAAUAAGCGGAGGAAAAAGAAACUUACAAGGAUUCCCCUAGUAACGGCGAGCGAACCGGGAAUAGCCCAGCUUUGAAAUCGGGCGGCCUUGCCGUCCGAAUUGUAGUCUGGAGAAGCGUCCUCUGCGGCGGACCGGGCUCAAGUCCCCUGGAAAGGGGCGCCAGAGAGGGUGAGAGCCCCGUCGUGCCCGGACCCUGUCGCUCCACGAGGCGCUGUCACCGAGUCGGGUUGUUUGAGAAUGCAGCCCCAAGCGGGCGGUAAAUUCCGUCCAAGGCUAAAUACAGGCGAGAGACCGAUAGCGAACAAGUAGCCGCGAGGAAAGAUGAAAAAGGACUUUGAAAAGAGAGUCAAAAGAGUGCUUGAAAUUGUCGGGGGGAGGGAAGCGGGAUGGGGCGGCCGAUGCGCGCUGUCGGAUUGGAAACGGUGUUAAGCCGGUCCGACCGAUCAGGCUCAUGGACGCGGACCGACUCGAUUGUGAUGGGCGCGAACCCGGCUUGCGGGGAGCGUCGUUCUCACCCCUCGAUUGUGGCAGGCACGCGCGCGCCUCACGGCGCGUUACAUUCUGCGCGCUCCGGGCGUCGGCCUGCGGGCUCCCAUUCGGCCCGUCUUGAAACACGGACCAAGGUAGUCUGACAUGUGCCCGAGUCAACGGGCUAGUAAACCCGUACGGCGUAAGGAAGCUAAGUUUGCGGGGAUCCCUUGCGGGGUGCACCGUUCGGACCGGACCUUGAUCUUCUGAGAAGGGUUCGGAGUGUGAGCAUACCUGUCGGACCCAAAGAUGGUGAACUAUGCCUGAGGCGGGGCGAAGCAGAGGAAACUCUGGUGGAGGGCCCCGAAGCGAUUACGACGUUGCAAAUCGUUCGGUCUGACCUUGGUAUAUUAUAGGGCGAAAGACUAAUCGAACCGUCUAUAGCUGGUUCCCUCCGAAUUUCCCUCAGGAUGCUGGGAGCUCAUUCACGAGUUCUAUCAGGUAAAGCCAAAUGAUUAGAGGCAUUCGGGGCGCAAGGCCCUCGGACCUGAUUCUCAAACUUUAAUGGGAUAGGACCGGUGCGGCUGACUUCGCUGAGCCGUCCCAAGGAAUCGAGACGCUCCAAGGGCGCAUUUUUGGUAACGGCAGAACUGGCAUGCGGGAUGAACCGGGAAGGCCGGGUUACGGUGCCCAACUGCCGCUAACUCUAGAUCCCACAAAGGGUGCUUGGGUCGAUUAAGACAGUCAGGAUCGGUGUUCGAUGGAAGGUCGAAAUCCGCUAAGGAGUGAUGUAAAACAACUCACCUGCGAAUCAACUAGGCCCCGAAAAAUGGGUGGCGCUGAAGCGGCGGACCUAUACCCGGCCGUCGGGGCAAGUGCCAGGCCCCGAUGAGUAGGAGGGCGCGGCGGUCGCCGUAAAACCUGUGGCGUGAUGCCCAGGGCGGAGGCGGCCGGUCGUGGCAGAUUUUGGUGGUAGUAGCAAAUAUUCAAAUGAGAAACUUUGAAGGGCCGAACGAGGAGAAAGGUGUCCAUGUGAACGGCACUUGCAACAUGCGGUUAGUCGAUCCAAGGGACGGGGUGGAAGCCCGUGAUUAGCGCGUUUCCGCGUACUCCGAAAGGGAAUCGGAGUAAAAUUCGCUGAACCGGGACACGGCGGUUGACGGCAACGUUUAGGGAGUCCGGAGACGGUCGGCGGGAGCCCGGGAAGAGUUACUCUUUUCUGUUUAACAGCCUGCCCACCCUGGAAUCGAUUAAUUCGGAGGUAGGUCCAGCGGUGGAAGAGACCGCCACUUCGCGUGGUGUCCGAUCGCGCUCCCCGGCGGCCCUUGAAAAUCCGAGGACCGAAUACCGACCUUGCCUGUCGUACUCCAUAACCGCAUCACGUUUUUUUCGGGAUUCCGGGGUCCCGAAAAAAAUCUCCGAAAUCGCAUAAGAAAGUUCCCGGGGUCAGAUAAAGCGGCCACGCAAAAUUUGAGCACCAACGGAAGACAUUUGGGGGUGCCGGUGGGCUAGAAACCGGGAUUUGUCGAAACCAACAAUUGCCGGGAAUCAUCGAUCAAUGAGAGAAGAAGGCGUGGGCACCAAAUGUCGGGAAUGAGCGUGCAUGGCUAGACCAUGGGGUACAAGUGCCGAGAAUAACAAAAAAUGACAAGGCAUAGUCACCCAAGUGACUGGAAUCGGCUAGGCCAUAAUGCGGCAAAUGCCUAGGCCAACGGCCACCAUGACCGGGCAUUGCCUUGGCCAUGAGCAGCAAUGGCUAGGCCAUGUGCGGCAAAUGCCUAGGCCACGGGCACAAUGACCGAGCAUUGCUUGGCCAUGUGCGGCAAUUGCCUAGGGCCACGGGCACAAUGACCGAGCAUUGGCUUGGCAAUGUGCGGCAAGUGCCUAGGCCAUGUGCGGCAAGUGGCUAGGCAAUGGCGGCAAGUGCCUAGGCCAUGGGCCAUGACCGAUCACGGCCUAGGCCAUGUGCGGCAAGUGCCUAGGCCACGGCUACCAUGACCGAGCAUCCUGCCUAGGCAUAUGCGGCAAAUGCCUAGGCCACGGCACCAUGACCGGCAUUGCUUUUGCCAUAGCAGCAUGGCUAGGCAUGGGCGGCAAAUGCCUAGGCCCACUGGGCACAAUGCCGAGGCAUUGCCUUGGCAUGGUGCGGCAAUUGCUACGGCCUCGGGCACAUGACCGAGCUAUGGCUUGGCAUGUGCGGCAAAGUGCCUAGGCCAUGGGCGGCAAGUGACCGAGCAAGUGCCUAUGCCAUGGGCACGCAAUGCACCGAGCAAUGCUAUGCAUGGGCCACCAUGACCGAGCAAUGCCUAUGCCAUGGGCACCA
rnacentral:rRNA from 1 species